rnacentral:rRNA from 1 species
GAUGAACGCUGGCGGCGUGCCUAAUACAUGCAAGUCGAACGCAUUGUGGUUGAAAUGAUAUGAAGAACUUGUUCAGAUUUGAUUUUCAACAUUGCAAUGAGUGGCGAACGGGUGAGUAACACGUGGGAAACCUACCUCUUAGCAGGGGAUAACAUUUGGAAACAAAUGCUAAUACCGUAUAAUAAUUAAAAACCGCAUGGUUUUAGUUUAAAAGAUGGUCUUGCUAUCACUAAGAGAUGGUCCCGCGGUGUAUUAGUUAGUUGGUGAGGUAAUGGCUCACCAAGACAAUGAUACAUAGCCGAGUUGAGAGACUGACCGGCCACAAUGGGACUGAGACAGGCCCAUACUCCUACGGGAGGCAGCAGUAGGGAAUCUUCCACAAUGGACGAAAGUACUGAUGGAGCAACGCCGCGUGUGUGA